GACGUAGGGCGCGAGCGUUGUCCGGAUUUAUUGGGCGUAAAGAGCUUGUAGGCGGUCUGUCGCGUCUGCUGUGAAAAUCCGGGGCUCAACCCCGGACUUGCAGUGGGUACGGGCAGACUAGAGUGUGGUAGGGGAGACUGGAAUUCCUGGUGUAGCGGUGAAAUGCGCAGAUAUCAGGAGGAACACCGAUGGCGAAGGCAGGUCUCUGGGCGAU
rnacentral:rRNA from 1 species